rnacentral:rRNA from 1 species
CCUACGGGAGGCUGCAGUGGGGAAUUUUGCGCAAUGGGGGAAACCCUGACGCAGCAACGCCGCGUGGAGGAUGAAGCCCCUUGGGGUGUAAACUCCUUUCGACAGGGAAGCGGUACCUGUAUAAGAAGCCCCGGCUAACUUCGUGCCAGCAGCCGCGGUAAUACGAGGGGGGCAAGCGUUGUUCGGAAUUAUUGGGCGUAAAGGGCGCGUAGGCGGUCUGAUAAGUCUUGUGUGAAAUCUCUGGGCUCAACCCAGAGUCUGCAUAGGAAACUGUCGGGCUUGAGUAUGGGAGAGGUGCGUGGAAUUUCCGGUGUAGCGGUGAAAUGCGUAGAUAUCGGAAGGAACACCUGUGGCGAAAGCGGCGCACUGGACAAACUGACGCUGAGGCGCGAAAGCUAGGGGAGCAAACAGGAUUAGAUACCCUUGUAGUC